AGAGGCUACUGCUAUCAGCGUCCGACUAAGCCAUGCGAGUCGUGGGCACCCCCUCAAGGGGGAGACCCGGCGGACGGCUCAGUAACACGUGGACAACCUACCCUUGGGUCCGGGAUAACCCCGGGAAACUGGGGCUAAUACCGGAUGGGACAUCGCUCGCUGGAAUGCGGGAUGUCCGAAAGCCGAGGCGCCCAAGGAUGGGUCUGCGGCCGAUUAGGUAGUUGUUGAUGUAACGGAUCAACAAGCCUACGAUCGGUACGGGUUGUGAGAGCAAUAGCCCGGAGAUGGGUUCUGAGAAAAGAACCCAGGUCCUACGGGACGCAUCAGGCGCGAAAACUUUACAAUGUGCGAAAGCACGAUAAGGGAACUCUGAGUGCCUCCUAAGGAGGCUGUUCAGGUGCCUAAAAAGCACCUGGAGUAAGGGCUGGGUAAGACCGGUGCCAGCCGCCGCGGUAACACCGGCAGCCCAAGUGGUAGCCACUUUUAUUGGGUCUAAAGCGUCCGUAGCCGGUCGAGUAAGUUCCUUGGGAAAUUUGGCUGCUUAACAGUCAAGCUUCCAGGGAAUACUGCUCGACUUGGGACUGGGAGAGGUCAGAGGUACUCCAGGGGUAGGGGUGAAAUCCGUUAAUCCCUGGGGGACCACCGGUAGCGAAGGCGUCUGACCAGACCAGGUCCGACGGUGAGGGACGAAGGCUAGGGUCGCGAACCGGAUUAGACACCCGGGUAGUCCUAGCAGUAAACGAUGCGGGCUAGGUGUUGGCAUCACUGCGAGUGGUGCCAGUGCCGAAGGGAAGCCGUUAAGCCCGCCAUCUGGGGAGUACGGUCGCAAGGCUGAAACUUAA
rnacentral:rRNA from 1 species